rnacentral:rRNA from 1 species
GAUGAACGCUGGCGGCGUGCCUAAUACAUGCAAGUCGAACGAAGCCUUCGGGCUUAGUGGCGAACGGGUGAGUAACACGUUGGUACCUACCCUCUAGUGGGGAAUAACUGGCCGAAAGGUCGGCUAAUACCGCAUAAUACCGCAAGGUUAAAGCAGCAAUGCGCUAGAGGAGGGGCCUGCGUCCCAUUAGCUUGUUGGUAGUGUAAUGGACUACCAAGGCGACGAUGGGUAGCUGGAUCGAGAGGUUGACCAGCCACACUGGGACUGAGAUACGGCCCAGACUCCUACGGGAGGCAGCAGUAAGGAAUCUUCCACAAUGGACGAAAGUCUGAUGGAGCAACGCCGCGUGCAGGAUGACGGCCUUCGGGCCGUAAACUGCUUUUAUAUGGGAAGAUUAUGACGGUACCAUAUGAAUAAGGACCGGCUAACUACAUGCCAGCCGCCGCAGUAA